UUGAUGUAAUUUUGGCUUUUGUAUUCGAUACUUAUCCAUAACCCAUCGGUCCAAACGAGAAAGUCGAAGAUACACGGGCCGUGAUCGCUUCAAGUCUUUGCAAACACUGAACCAGGAAGACGAUUUUCACUUACUUGCAGAUUGAGUCAUUCGGCACGAGUUACAACCCGCCAAAUCCACCAAAGGCCCAAAGCCUGCCACGUGCUGUGUCAUUUUAAACCUCGUUUAUAUAUCAAAUGGAAGAUGAAAUAAGGAGGGAAAAACAUAAGAAAGUGGCGGUAAGCCGCAAAAGCUGAAAAUUUUCCCCAAACUCUUUCUAUCUAUACCAUAUCCGCGUUCCAUGCUUCGCAAUAUCGAAGAAAUCAAAAAAUAUAUAUAUAUAUAUAUAUAUUUUUUUUUUUUCCCUUUUUCGUUCCUCUUAAUCGUUCUAUUCUGAUUGAGCAGCAGAGGAUCUAAAGGUAUGCUUCCCAGGCAAGUUUCAAUAUGACAGAGUUUUUAUAGUAUCUCUUUUUGGUUUCUGAUCUUUCUCAUUGUCGAGGAAAUUUGAUUUAGUGCAGUUUUGUAGCUUGAGGAUUCUUAGCAGAAGUCAUAUAGAUUUUUAUAUGUAUCGUUGAGGAUGAGUGAAUUUCUCUUAAAUUUAGCUCGACUUGUAAUCGCAGCAAACUUGUGCUUCCGAGAUUCGAUUCAGAUCCAAUGGAAUAUUCAAGCAGAAUGAUUGAAUUUGCUUUUUUUAUUUUUUAUUUUUUUGGUCUCUUUGGCGAGGCAAUCGGAGUUACUGCAGUUCUAGUGAAAUAUUCGCGUAGAUUGUCGGAAUCUGUAUGCAGGUUAUUUUGUUGAUGGUUCUUAGCUUGAGUCGUAUAGAAAGUGUAUUCCUCUUUCAUCUAUCUCACUUUUAAUCGCAGCUAUUUCUGCUUCCAUGGUUCAAUAUUCAGUUUGUAAUUUACUUUUUCGCCAUUGAUUUUUCAACUUGACGAGGCAAUCGGAGUUACUGCAGGUUUUUGGUUGAUGUUCCUUAGUUUGAAUCAUAUAGAAAGAGUAGAUGUGUUGUUGCUCUUACAUUUAGUUCAUUUCCAUCGCAACUAUUUAUGCUUCCGUCUCUUAUCUCAAAGUCAUAUAGAAAAAGAGUAGGACCGUAGGAGUUUACUGUUGUUUCACGUUAUUAGCCUGAGAAUAUUGGAAAAUAGUAUAAUUGUGCUGCUUGCUCUUGCAUUUAGCUAGACUUAUAAUCACAGCUCUUUGUGUUUCCUCGGUUCUACAUUCUAUUCGACUGUCAUUUAUUUUAGGAAUUGUCAGUUUGGAUGUUGUCAAAAUAGAAAAGGAUUGGAACUGAUUUUGAGAUGCAGGCAUCGAUGCAAGUGAUUUCUAAGUAGUUCUCACUCUGUUUGGAUCGGUUCAAAACUCCUGUCUUUGUCCACGCUUUUUAUUUUUUUUUAUUUUUUAUAUCAGUCAUGCUGCGUUAGCACUACACAUGCUUGGAUAGAGGUGUAUAUGCCAUUAGAUUAACUGAAUGAUGCGCUUUCUAGAUAAUAUGGUAUUGUCAGAAGAAUGCAUGAUUGGUUUGAACACAUUGUCUUUGCUCCUGUUUGUUCUUGGAUCUCUUUCUACAUGCUUUGUGGAUUUGUGUAUCUGCUAGAGAAACUAGUAACUCUUUGCAGUUGGAAGAUAUAUCUUGGUCAAAUUAGCUGAUUUUUGAUUGAAUUGCUCAAAUUUGAGCAUGGAACUACUGCGAACUUGUUAAUCAUGUAAAAUAUACAUGCCCACUCAGAUCAUGGGAACCUACAACUCAACUGGAUCUUUUUUUUUUUUUUGGGCUUUUCUGCUAUUAUUGUUUUUCCUCUUUUGAUUGGACCAGGUUACAACAGCUGAAUACCCACCUCUUAAUGCAUGUCCUACGCUUGCUCUUUGCACAUGUUUGGUAAAAUUUGUGUUCUGGUGUCAUCACUGUGAGUGCACAAUCUUCUACUCAUCUUUCCUUUCCUUAUUUCUUGUCAAC